AGUAAAUAAUAGCUGGAGUCAAUUAAAUAAAUACAAAACACAUAUAAACUAUUAAGUGAUUUAUUUUCUUAACACUGAGAAUACACAUUUCAUUUGAGGAAUAACUUAUGGCUUAACACUAGGCUAAAAUACUUCAAUACAAUAAUAAAUACUUAUAAAUAUUUGCACUUAAUCACAACUUUAAGUAAUUAGGUAUAUCGCUUACCCAUUGCAUUGAAAUAAAAGUUAACUACCUACAGUAUUAUUAUUAAAUAUUUACUUUAGUAAGUUAAGUAAGGCCCAUUGUAAUUGUCACUGACAACAUAAAAGUCAGUUUUCUGAAAAUCAUUGUUUACUGUUGAUUGAAAAUGACAAGUCAACAAACAGCUGAGAUUCCAUUUUUAAGUCGGUUAAAAUUACAAAAAUAAAUAGCAG